GCUUCACCUCCAUCCAGCUCCUCUCACACAUCUCCACCGAGGAUCUUCUGCGGAUCGGCGUGACUCUAGCGGGACACCAGAAGAAGAUUCUGUCCAGCGUCCAAACGCUGCGGGUCCACGGCGGCUCCCUGCGAUACUGACGCUUCCCAGCAUUCCCUGCUUCUGCUACCAGACUGAUCGACCAAUCACUGUGGAGCACCACAGAGCCAGCCAAUCAGGACAGAGACAGACGUCAGAGACUGAUGGAUUUUCUCUUUGGUCUCAGGAGCGUCUCGUGAGGAAACAGACGAGCGUUACGUCACAGACAUCAGAGGAUGACGUGUUACAGUUGCCGCGGCAACACCGCUGCAUUAUGGGAGCUUAAUCGGAUCUUCACAUUGAAGAUCAUUAUAAUUAUUAUUAUAAAGUGAGAUUAUUUUGUAAUUAUUAUUUUGUACGUAUCAAAACAGCACAAAUAAUGAACGAAUGUUUGUUUAACAAAAGUACUGUGGGAGCUGUCAAUCAAACAGAGUGUAAUCUGUGUGACCAAUCACAUUAAAGAUCUGCACUGGCCCCUCCCAGCAGAGCAGCUGCAGUGUGUUUGUGUUUGUUUUACUGACCAAUCAGCACAGCUUCUUAAAGACGACUAACAUUAAAAACACUGGAUUACGUCACUGUGGAAUAUCAACACUAAAUAGAGCCACAGUUUAAAGAAAAUAAUACUCAAAUGUCUCAUUUUUAAAAACCAUGCCUAAAUGAAGCAACGUUUUGUUGCUUUUAACUGUAGAAAUGCAGUGUGUGUGUGUGUGUGCGCAUGUGUAUAGUGUGCGUGUGUGUGUGUGUAUAGUGUGUGUUUCUAGAGAACUGAAUCUCUGAGUGAAUCGGAUUAUCGAGAAAGAAAACGUGAAGGGCGGGGCUGGAUGUUGAGAUAUGGGCGUGGCGUAUGCAGAUGAGCGUCAGCUUGCAGAGGCGGAGCUUAAGAGCACUGAACGACGAUCCAGUUAUGACAUUCUGAUUAAACAUCACCAGCACAAAACAUAUUUAAAAUGAGACCUGCACAGAUCAGUCGUUCACAAGAAGAUCAAAUAUAUGCAUUUAGAGUGAAUUUUCAUUUCAUGACUAAUUUAAAACCCUGUUCUAAAGUGACAUCAAACCCAGAAAACUAAUUCACCGUGUUUCCUCCAGGAACUGAGUUUGACACCCCUGCUCUACUGUUUCAAUUUGAGUUUCAAACUGCUUGAAACAUUAAUUUCUAAUUGGAAUUUUGCCAAUUU
ensembl:lncRNA